rnacentral:rRNA from 1 species
GACGAACGCUGGCGGCGUGCUUAACACAUGCAAGUCGAACGGACUGGCUAACGGGCGAGUAACACGUGGGUGACCUGCCCUGCACUUCGGGAUAAGCCCGGGUAACUGGGUCUAAUACCGGAUAGUGUGGGAUGGGCCGGGGGCCUAUCAGCUUGUUGGUGGGGUAAUGGCCUACCAAGGCGGCGACGGGUAGCCGGCCUGCGAGGGUGGACGGCCACAUUGGGACUGAGACACGGGCCAGACGCCAACGGGAGGCAGCGGUGGGGAAUAUAGGACAAUGGGCGGAAGGCGGGUGCAGCGACGCCGCGUGGGGGAUGACGGGUUUCGGGUUGUAAACUCCUUUCACCAUCGACGCGGUAGAUGAAGAAGAAGCACCGGCUAACUACGUGCCAGCAGCCGCGGUAAUAC